UACGGAGGGUGCGAGCGUUGUCCGGAAUCACUGGGCGUAAAGGGCGCGUAGGCGGUCUGCUAAGCGUGCGGUGAAAGCCUGGGGCUCAACCCCAGGUCUGCCGUGCGAACUGGUGGACUAGAGCACUGUAGAGGCAGGUGGAAUUCCGGGUGUAGGCGGUGGAAUGCGUAGAGAUCCGGAAGAACACCGGUGGCGAAGGCGGCCUGCUGGGCAGUUGCUGGACGCUGAGGCGCGACAGCGUGGGGAGCA
rnacentral:rRNA from 1 species